AUUGAACGCUGGCGGCAGGCCUAACACAUGCAAGUCGAGCGAGCGGCGCACGGGUGAGUAAUGUCUGGGAAACUGCCUGAUGGAGGGGGGUAACUCCUGGAAACGGUAGCUAAUACAGCCUACCAUCACAUGUGCCCAGAUGGGGUUAGCUAGUAGGGGGGGUAACGGCUCACCUAGGCGCCGAUCCCUAGCUGGUCUGAGAGGAUGACCAGCAACACUGGAACUGAGACACGGUCCAGACUCCUACGGGAGGCAGCAGGGGGGAAUAUUGCACAAUGGGCGCAAGCCUGAUACAGCCAUGCCGCGUGUGUGAAGAAGGCCUUCGGGUUGUAAAGCACUUUCAGCGGGGAGGCGUUACCCGCAGAAGAAGCACCGGCUAACUCCGUGCCAGCCGCCGCGGUAAUAC
rnacentral:rRNA from 1 species